UACGUAGGGGGCAAGCGUUGUCCGGAUUUACUGGGCGUAAAGAGCGUGUAGGCGGCCAAGCAGGUCCGUUGUGAAAACUGGAGGCUUAACCUCCAGACGUCGACGGAAACCGCGUGGCUAGAGUCCGGAAGAGGAGAGUGGAAUUCCGUGGUGUAGCGGUGAAAUGCGCAGAUAUCAGGAAGAACACCAAUGGCGAAGGC
rnacentral:rRNA from 1 species